rnacentral:rRNA from 1 species
GAUGAACGCUAGCGGCAGGCCUAACACAUGCAAGUCGAGGGGCAGCAUAAAACAAGCUUGCUUGUUUUGGUGGCGACCGGCGCACGGGUGAGUAACGCGUAUGCAACCUACCCUGUACAGGGGGGAUAGCCCGGAGAAAUUCGGAUUAAUACCCCAUAACGAUAUCUGGAGGCAUCUUUGGAUAUUUAAAGAUUUUAUCGGUACGGGAUGGGCAUGCGUAACAUUAGCUAGUUGGUAGGGUAACGGCCUACCAAGGCAACGAUGUUUAGGGGUCCUGAGAGGGUGAUCCCCCACACUGGUACUGAGACACGGACCAGACUCCUACGGGUGGCUG